rnacentral:rRNA from 1 species
UACAGAGGUGCCGAGCGUUAGGCGGAAUCACUGGGCUUAAAGCGUGUGUAGGCGGAUGCCUAAGUACCUUGUGAAAUCCCCCGGCUUAACCGGGGAACUGCUUGGUAUACUGGGUGUCUUGAGCCACUUAGGGGCGACCGGAACAAACGGUGGAGCGGUGAAAUGCGUAGAUAUCGUUUGGAACGCCAAUGGUGAAAACAGGUCGCUGGGAGUGUGCUGACGCUGAGACACGAAAUCCAGGGGAGCGAACGGG